UCCUCCCUCCUGCUUUCGUCUUUCCUUUCACCAUUUUACACUAAUUGGUUCUGUAUGUAUUUCCUUCUUAUGGGGCCUGAAGAUCUUUUGCUGUUUCGGCUUGCGAACGUGAGGAUUGCUCAUCAAUCGGGAUCCCUGAGGUCGAAAACGAAAGAGGGUAUCGCUCCAACCUUCGCAUUUCAUCGUCUUUUCUUGUGAAUGUUCAGCAGGGGCUCGUGACUCUGGUCAUUUUUGAGGAGGUUGGGAUUUAAAUUUGAAGUGGGUUUCUGUUGAUUUGUAUUUCUGGAACAAGAGAGGGAAGAGAAGUACCAGUAUUGCUGGGCUAUUUGGGUUUUCUGAUAAGAACAGAAGAAGGGGUUUUCUGGAUCAUUUUUGGAGAUGGCGGAUAACCCUAAAUGUGAAGGAAUACUCAUCUGGCUUGUAAUUGCAGGUUGGCAGGGACUGUUUUGCCCAUGUGUGCUAUUUGGUCGAAAUCUUGAAAAUUUGAGGGAAGUCAUUCCGUGGACUAGGCCUUGUAUUUGUCAUGCCAUAUUUGUUGAGGGCGGCACAGCACGUUCAACAGCAACUGCAAUACUCCAUCACCGUGGCAUUGAUCCCUCAACGUCGUUCCUGAUCGGUGCAGGAUUGCUGCUCACUUGGUGGGUGUGUGGCAUCUACAGGGGCCUAUUUCAGCAAAAAUUGCGUAGGAAAUAUCAUUUAAGGUUCUCUUUCUCUCUCUGUGACAGACGCCCAUGCAUAUGUUUUUGAAAUAUUAUUGUCCAUGGCACACUCUUGCCAUUUCUCAAAGUGCUACCCUGCCCUUUUUGUGAUGUUAGAAUUGUGUUAUCUUUAUUAGAGCAUGCUUUGAUUGUCUGAAUAAUCUUUACACCCUUGUAAAGCUUAUCGGUUAUUUUCACUAGUGAAGGCAGCAUACCACGUGGUGAGGAAAUUCAAGACUUCUUUCACCACCAUACAUCCUUUUAUACUUGGAAUCGGUUAAGGAAAGGUUGGUAGGAAAGACAUCCAAAUUUCUUCACCCAAGUUUUGAGUGCAAGCACACCUUAGGGAAAUUUCACCUCGCGGAAGUACUAUCCCGGCAAUUAAAUAUGUCUCAACUUCAAAGCAGUUAAACUCAGUCUAGUAGGUAUGUGGUAAAUGACUUGUUUGAAUGAGCAUGUGUCUAGUAGGUUAAACAGGGGAAGGCAAGGAUACACUUGAAGUUCAUGCCGACCCCACAAGUUUCUAUAUUUAGCUGUGAACUGGGAUUGGACAACCUUGCCGAUACAUGAUACAUAAUACAGGGGGCCUUUUGUUCUUAAAAGGGCAUUAAUUUUGGUGGAGUUUUUUUGUGCAAACGUCAAGAUUCUUUUGGACAGCAUUAUGAAGGAUGGCAAUGAUAUAGCUACCAAAGAAUGAUCUGGUUCAGUUCCACAAUUCACAGGCAUACAAGAUCUCAGGUAUCAAACUCAGGUCGGUGGAUGCCGAGUUAGGCAUCGUCAACUGCAUCGUGGACUGGGUUUGCCACAAGUUUCUGACCAAGGACGGGGUGCUGGAAGUGUUGGACAAGGACACGGGUCAACUGCAGCUAUGUCCACGAGGAGAUGAUGCUGCCUGCUGGUCUUCAUGGUGGCGCUGCUGUGCACAACCCGAUGCCCGGCCGUCCGGUCAUCCAUACGUGAUGUCGUCUCCAUGCUGCAAGAAGCAUAGCCAAAGAGAAAGGUGGUAAGUGCUUAUGUUCACGACAUCGACAACCAUGGUGUAAGUAAAAGUUAGCGUUCAUGUACUAUAUUGAAAUUGAAUUGAACUGGAUUCUUUGAUCGGCCGGUGUUUCUCUUGCCUUUUUUUUUUAUUAUCUAUAUA